UACAGAGGAUGCAAGCGUUAUCCGGAAUGAUUGGGCGUAAAGCGUCUGUAGGUGGCUUUUUAAGUCCGCCGUCAAAUCCCAGGGCUCAACUCUGGACAGGCGGUGGAAACUACCAAGCUGGAGUACGGUAGGGGCAGAGGGAAUUUCCGGUGGAGCGGUGAAAUGCGUAGAUAUCGUCUGGAACGCCGAAGGUGAAAACAGCUCGCUGGGGUUGUGCUGACGCUGAGACACGAAAGCCAGGGGAGCAAACGGG
rnacentral:rRNA from 1 species